rnacentral:rRNA from 1 species
CGCGGCCUAUCAGCUUGUUGGUGGGGUAACGGCCCACCAAGGCAUCGACGGGUAGCUGGUCUGAGAGGACGAUCAGCCACACUGGGACUGAGACACGGCCCAGACUCCUACGGGAGGCAGCAGUGGGGAAUAUUGCGCAAUGGGCGAAAGCCUGACGCAGCAACGCCGCGUGGGGGAUGACGGCCUUCGGGUUGUAAACCCCUUUCAGCAGGGACGAAAAUGACGGUACCUGCAGAAGAAGCCCCGGCCAACUACGUGCCAGCAGCCGCGGUAACACGUAGGGGGCGAGCGUUGUCCGGAUUUAUUGGGCGUAAAGAGCUCGUAGGCGGUUGCGUAAGUCGGAUGUGAAAACUCAGGGCUCAACCCGGAGACGCCAUCCGAUACCGCGCUGACUAGAGUCCGGUAGGGGAGCAUGGAAUUCCUGGUGUAGCGGUGAAAUGCGCAGAUAUCAGGAGGAACACCAGUGGCGAAGGCGGUGCUCUGGGCCGGUACUGACGCUGAGGAGCGAAAGCGUGGGUAGCGAACAGGAUUAGAUACCCUGGUAGUCCACGCCGUAAACGUUGGGCACUAGGUGUGGGGCCUACUUAACGGGUUCCGUGCCGUAGCUAACGCAUUAAGUGCCCCGCCUGGGGAGUACGG